rnacentral:rRNA from 1 species
GACGGACCGUACGAACGUUAUUCGGAAUUACUGGGCUUAAAGGGUGCGUAGGCGGCUCAGAAAGUUGAAUGUGAAAUCCCUCGGCUUAACCGGGGAACUGCAUCUGAUACUGGAUGGCUUGAGUUCGGGAGAGGGAUGCGGAAUUCCAGGUGUAGCGGUGAAAUGCGUAGAUAUCAGGAGGAAUACCGAUGGCGAAGGCAGGUCUCUGGGCUGACACUGACGCUCAUGCACGAAAGCGUGGGGAGCAAACAGG